rnacentral:rRNA from 1 species
GAUGAACGCUGGCGGCGUGCCUAAUACAUGCAAGUCGAGCGAACAGACGAGGAGCUUGCUCCUCUGACGUUAGCGGCGGACGGGUGAGUAACACGUGGAUAACCUACCUAUAAGACUGGGAUAACUUCGGGAAACCGGAGCUAAUACCGGAUAAUAUAUUGAACCGCAUGGUUCAAUAGUGAAAGACGGUUUUGCUGUCACUUAUAGAUGGAUCCGCGCCGCAUUAGCUAGUUGGUAAGGUAACGGCUUACCAAGGCGACGAUGCGUAGCCGACCUGAGAGGGGUACUGGGCCCACUGGAACUGGGACCCGGUCCAGACUCCUACGGGAGGCAGCCGUAGGGAAUUCUCCGCAAUGGGCGAAAGCCUGACGGAGCAACGCCGCGUGAGUGAUGAAGGUCUUCGGAUCGUAAAACUCUGUUAUUAGGGAAGAACAAAUGUGUAAGUAACUAUGCACGUCUUGACGGUACCUAAUCAGAAAGCCACGGCUAACUACGUG